CCCGCUGAACUUAAGCAUAUCAAUAAGCGGAGGAAAAGAAACUAACAAGGAUUCCCCUAGUAACUGCGAGUGAAGCGGGAAAAGCUCAAAUUUAAAAUCUGGCGGUCCUUGUGGCCGUCCGAGUUGUAAUUUAGAGAAGUGUUAUCCGUGCUGGACCGUGUACAAGUCUCCUGGAAUGGAACGUCGUAGAGGGUGAGAAUCCCGUCUUUGACACGGACUGCCAGUGCAUUGUGAUGCGCUCUCGACGAGUCGAGUUGUUUGGGAAUGCAGCUCAAAUAGGGUGGUAAAUUCCAUCUAAAGCUAAAUACAGGCGAGAGACCGAUAGCGAACAAGUACCGUGAGGGAAAGAUGAAAAGAACUUUGGAAAGAGAGUUAAACAGUACGUGAAAUUGCUGAAAGGGAAACGCUUGAUGUCAGUCGCGUCGUCCGGGGAUCAGCCUUGCUCUUUUGCUCGGUGUAUUUCCUGGUCGACGGGUCAGCAUCGGUUUUGACCGUCGGAAAAUGGCUCGAGGAAUGUGGCACCCUUCGGGGUGUGUUAUAGACUCGGGUCGAAUACGGCGAUUGGGACCGAGGAACUCAGCACGACCUUAGGGUUCGGGGCUUCGGCCCACGUUAACGUGCUUAGGAUGCUGGCAUAAUGGCCUUAAGCGACCCGUCUUGAAACACGG
rnacentral:rRNA from 1 species